AUGACGCUGGCGGCAGGCUACACCUGCAGUUUAACGGUAACAGGAUGUGCUUGCCACAUCGCUGACGAGUGGCGGACGGGUGAGUAAUGCUUAGGGAUCUGCCUCUGUGUGGGGGAUAACUAUUGGAAACGAUAGCUAAUACCGCAUAAUGUUUACGGACCAAAGGGGGCGUUUGCUCCCGCGCAGAGAGGAACCUAAGUGAGAUUAGCUAGUUGGUAAGGUAAUGGCUUACCAAGGCGACGAUCUCUAGCUGUUCUGAGAGGAAGAUCAGCCACACUGGGACUGAGACACGGCCCAGACUCCUACGGGAGGCAGCAGUGGGGAAUAUUGCACAAUGGGGGGAACCCUGAUGCAGCCAUGCCGCGUGUGUGAAGAAGGCCUUCGGGUUGUAAAGCACUUUCAGUUGUGAGGAAACGGUUAGUAGUUAAUACCUGCUAGCUGUGACGUUAGCAACAGAAGAAGCACCGGCUAACUCCGUGCCAGACAGCCGCGGUAAUACGGAGGGUGCGAGCGUUAAUCGGAAUUACUG
rnacentral:rRNA from 1 species